UCCGUGGCCACUGAGGCUUCGGAGCUCGACCCGCACCUGCCUGCCCUUGUGGCCCUCACUCCCCGAGGCUAUCCAGGUGAGGCCGCCUGGGGCCCCUCUUCGGCUCCCGAGAGCGGGCUGCUUUCCCUGCGGGCCGCGCCAGGGUCUGCGGAGCUGCAGGGCCUUCACCGCAGAGGGAAGUAGAGGACGUGCGGGGGUGGGCAGGCUUGGGCCAGGGCCUGGGUAGAGUCGCCGAGGCCCGGAGCCUCCCCGGAAGGCCGCACUGUGCCCUCGGGUUCCAGCCUUUCCUGGAUGGAGCCGGUUC
rnacentral:lncRNA from 1 species